UACGUAGGGUGCGAGCGUUAAUCGGAAUUACUGGGCGUAAAGCGUGCGCAGGCGGUUCGUCGUGUCCGAUGUGAAAGCCCCGGGCUCAACCUGGGAAUGGCAUUGGAAACUGGCGGACUCGAGUGUGGCAGAGGGGGGUGGAAUUCCGCGUGUAGCAGUGAAAUGCGUAGAUAUGCGGAGGAACACCGAUGGCGAAGGCAGCCCCCUGGGUCAAAACUGACGCUCAUGCACGAAAGCGUGGGGAGCAAACAGG
rnacentral:rRNA from 1 species